rnacentral:rRNA from 1 species
GACGAACGCUGGCGGCGUGCUUAACACAUGCAAGUCGAACGGAAAGGCCCUGCGUUUGUUGGGUUCUCGAUUGGCGAACGGGGGAGUGACACGUGAGUAACCUGCCCUUGUCUUUGUGAUAACUUCAGGAAACUGGGGCGAAUAUCCGAUAGGAGCUCCUGCUGCGUGGUGGGCGUUGGAAAGUUUCGGCUGUUGUGUAUGGACUCGCUGCUUAUCAGCUUGUUGGUGGGGUAGUGGCUUACCAAGGCUUUGACGGGUAGCCCGCCUGAGAGGGUGACCGGCCACCUUGGGACUGAGAUAAGGCACAGACUCCUACGGGAGGCAGAAGUGGGGAAUCUUGCACAAUGGGCGGAAGCCUGAUGAAGCAACGCCGCGUGCGGGAUGACGGUCUUAGGGUUGUAAAACGCUUUCGCCUGUGACGAAGCGUGAGUGACGGUAACGGGUACAGAAGCACCGGCUAACUACGUG